rnacentral:rRNA from 1 species
CCUGAGCAUGCCCGAUCUCAUCUGAUCUCGGAAGCUAAGCAGG